UGUGCAUGCACUUUUCUAUUUGCUGCUUUAUGGGAAAGUUGUGUCUCUCCCUCUCCUCCUCCCUCCCCUCUUUUUUUUCCCCUGCCCGUCUCUGCGUCUGUCAUGUGCCUGGGAUGUGCUCAUGCUUUUGGCACAGAGCGGCCGUUGCGCGCCGCCUAAUGCGGGUUACAAAGUGGCAGCACCAGUUUUAAAGUCUCACCCCCCUUAAGCAACCAACAAACCGACCAGCUACCCACCAACCCAGCAUGUUUAAACGCCGGGGAUUUUUAGUUGCUCCCCACGCCCCCCUCCCACCUCCAAGAGGAACAUUUACCUACACAUCAUACCACGAUACACACGGACCUCGUUGUUCUUCAGCUUCUGCCGCCUUGGACACUUUCUGAUUCCCUGGCAGUCAUCUGGCUGGACCGUGAGGAACGGUUAUGGAGAAAUGGAGCAACAGGCAGCAGCAGGACGCAGAGAGAGGAAGCCAUCACAGGAUCUCGGGGAUUUUGAUUGUCACUGGACCCGUAUGAGGUUUCUUGACCAUGAUGAGCCUUAAGUGACCAAACCCUCAACACGGAAGACAUAAAGAAUAUGCAUGCAAUUUCUAAGGUGAGUUAUCUGUCUUAAAGCUCCACUCUCUUGAUACUUCAAGUCAUGUAGACAGAAGUUUUCUUCUGUGAACCAGCAAUAGCUGCAUUGUUUUUCAAUUAGUAGUAUAUCUCAGUGUCAGUAGGAUAGUUUGACACACAUUGUUUCUGUCGAACUGCAGAUUGUAGAAGACAAUAAAAAAAAUACAGCUGUAAUGAAUUCCUCUGACCCACAUAUUACUGUCCCAUCCAUUUCUCUGGGGACACAGAAAGGGCAUUUACACAGGUAAACCGUGACUGGUCCCUAAAGUGAAAGAGGGGUUUUUCAGAAGGAAGAUGGGUUAUCCAUAAUUUACCAAGGUGUGGUUGCCAGACACUUAGAAGAUAAUGCAGUGCUUCAAGCAUACAGAACAUAGAGCCUUCUUGGUACUGGUGAGGCCAUUGUUGUGAGUUUUCCAGCUUGUCUGUUUCCAUCUAUACAGACAAAUAAAAAAAAUAAAUAAAACAACAACAAAUGUCCUUCCAAGGUUCAGAAGCCUAGACAGAAAUGGAAAGUGAAAGGAACGGUAAGGAAGGCCUUACUGGAGAGACAUGAUUCCAGUAAGGCAAACAUGUCUCUUCAGACAUGUUUGUUGGUGUUUAUAUUUAGGUCUGCUUUAAUGUCCCCCUCAGCAUUAGGAGCAGCUAAUCUCAUAAUGUGGUGGAGUUUCCCGCUGCAAAAAUAUAUUUGACUGCUUCCGACAUUUUAUGUAACGUCACUUUAAAAUGUGAAACACUACUAGGAAGAACAAUCAUACUGAUAGCAAAUGUAAGACCCUGUGAAAUGUCAAAUAGAGAAUACAGCAAAUUGAUUGUUGUGAAAACAAAGAAGCUUACAGAGACAUUGAUGGUUAUUGGUAAUGCCUGCUGAGAAGCCUGUUAAAUAAAUAUUUCUGAAUAAAUUAAACUAAAUUUCAUUAUGAUCACUGUAGCAAUCAUACAUUUUUAUAAGAAACAAAAUGUAACUCGCUCUGUUAAAUGUAGAAGUCGCUUGUCAAGCCCAUUGUUUUUUAAUUGAAAAUUGGCUACAUUUUGGCCAAGAUGGCCUAAUGAUUUUGCUCUUCCCUAAUAUUUCCCCCAAAAUGUGGACAUGCUUAAAUCUUUGUUGUGAUGUGUAUCAUUUUUUCACCUUCAUUAUCAGAAAUUGACAGAUUGCUCAUACUUACUUCUUGGUCUUUUAAUUCUUCUUAAACCAUCUUCCUUGAGGUUUUUGCAAAAGUAUAUCUGAUGUGUAAUUAACUUUUGCAUCUGUGCUUUAGAUACCUUUGGUUCUGAUUAUGACUUUACUAGUUAUCAGAUGUCUUGGAUGAGCUGCUAUAUUUGCUCUAAUCUGAUCCAUAAAACUUACCGUACAAUUUGUUCAACUACCACUUAUUUUUGUCCUGGUUUGCUUAAAGAUUUCUACUGUCCAUGCACACCAUAUACUGUACAAAGAU